AAUUUCUCAACUGCUUUGACUUGUAGUUAAAGCAACAGUUGGAUUUGGAGGAUUUUUGCUGGCGCCACUUUUAGUGGCUUGUCAGCUCCUCUUGAAAGCAUGAAGCUUUCCAGUAGGUUUCUGGCAAAGUGAUCUUCAAUGUGAUAGAUUGUCUACAUUGUUGAGAAACAGAGCCUUCUUACAGGAUCGCUAUAAAAGAAUAACUAUUUUAUGACCA
rnacentral:misc_RNA from 2 species